CACGUAGGGUGCGAGCGUUGUCCGGAAUUAUUGGGCGUAAAGAGCUCGUAGGCGGUGUGUCGCGUCGGCCGUGAAAACCUGCAGCUUAACUGUGGGCUUGCGGUCGAUACGGGCAUCACUGGAGUUCGGCAGGGGAGACUGGAAUUCCUGGUGUAGCGGUGGAAUGCGCAGAUAUCAGGAGGAACACCGGUGGCGAAGGCGGGUCUCUGGGCCGAAAUUGACGCUGAGGAGCGAAAGCGUGGGGAGCAAACAGG
rnacentral:rRNA from 1 species